AAUUCUUACGUUAACAUUACAUAUAACUUAUUUUAAAUAUUGCUAUAAAAUCAGAAAUGAAGCGCGAGCCUUUGAAACUAAUAGUGAUAAAAUUUUUCUGUUGCGUCUGAAUUCACAUCUUUGAUGUUUUACGGAUGGAGAGCCACUUUAAAACCGAGUGUUUGCGCCAAAACUCUUGGCAAAACGGUAAAAUGAAGAGACCUAAUCCACGUAUACAUGCCUGUUGCAACUCAAUUCACUCACAUAUAUAAUUUAAAUGCUUGGCUCCAUUUGUUCCAUUCUUAUUCUAUGCUUACAUUAUCAGAACAGUGGUAACUAGGCAUGUGAGUUAUCCCAUCCAAUUCACUCACAUAUAUAAUUUAAAUGCUUGGUUACCUUUGUUCCAUUCUAUGCUUAGGGACCGGUCAUAAAGUAACUGCUAGGGUGGGCCGGAGGGAAAAAUAGGUUUUCCAAAAAAAAAACCCGGUGGCCCAUCCUGAGAACCUGGAAAAAAAUUUCAAAGCCCAUCGUAGGUCAUUGGGAAAAUUUCACGACCCAUCCUGCCAUACAUGAAUAUGUGCAGUAUAGCAGUCACUUUGAUCAAACCAUGCACUAAGUCACUAGGACAAGUAAAUGAAAUUGUCAGGGACGCCGGAACGAUGUGAAGGCAAGGGGGGCAGAUUUUCGUGAAAGGGCACUUUUGAAUUGAUAUAUACUAAGAGAUGUUUACAAAACAUUGGGAGUUGAACUUCCCCUAAUCAUGUUUUCUAUUUAUUGGAUGAUAGGGGUGUGAGGGGGUUCUCCGCCAGGCGAUUGUGCUAUAACUGCUAUUCUUGAAGCUCGAUGACUGCAUUUCUUGCAUUUUCUGAAGCACUAACAUUUCUGACAAUUCGCUAUUUCGCCAAGGCAAACCUUUAAAUUGAAAGGGUACCUUUGCCCCCUUUGCCCCUCCUGGUAAAGGGCAACGGGGGCGGCUGCCCCUCCUGCCCCCCCCCCCAGUUCCGGCACCUCUGGAAAUUGUAGAACAAGUAAAUGAAAUUGUAACUUCAUUGGAGAAGCAAAAACAAGUAACAAGUCAAAAGAAAGCGAAAAACAACAGUUGUGGGGAAAACAAUGUACACUACAACAGAAUCUGAGGAAGGGUGAUAUUUAAAAAUAAAUGCCUGUAGAUGUGACUUACAAAAUAUUAAUGCUAUUACUGAACUAUUAACAAUAACAAUAACAGGAUUAUGUUUUCAUUUCAUUUUGAAUUCACUUUAAAUAUAUUAUUUUAUACUGAAUGUUGAUUCUUUUAAUAGGAAUGUUGUGUAGUAGUUGUAGUACGUAAGUUCUUUGUAUGAUUGUAUGGCGAUAAAAUAUAUAAUAGUUUUGUUUGUGGAAACACCACGUAAAUUUAUUACUGCAGUAAUAAAUUUACGUGGUGUUUCCACAAACAAAACUAUUAUAGUUGUAGUAUGUAUUGAGUGAAAACAUGACUAUAUGUGUUUCAUGGCCCAUUCAUUUGCACAAAAAAAAUAACCAAAUUGAUGGCCCACCCAAACUGAUGAAAAUAAUUCCAUGGCCCAUCCUUAUUUCCUCCGGCCCAUCCAAGCAGUUACUUUAUGACCAGUCCCUUACAUCAUCUAACUGUGGUAACCAGGCAUGCGAGUUAGCCGAAAAUGUGAAUUGGUUGGGCAAAGGGCAAACUUUUCAAAUGCUGCAACCCGUUUUGCCAACAGCUUGGCUCUCGGCCAGAACUGCGUACCCAAAACAUAGAUUAUAGUGGCUAAAAAAAACUGGCCGGAAUUGGCCAGUGAAAAUGCUGUAUUAUGUUAGUAAUAUUUUCCAAUAUAAUAUUCCCCUAAACAGACAUUUAUACAAUAAAGAUGAACAAUAGAUUGUAUAAUUGGAAUAUGGUUUCCGCCAGCCGAAUGGCGAUGACACCUUUACAGAAAUGCUGAAAUAAGUCCGAGUGGCUGGAUGAUAUGGGAUUUCCAAAACUACGAAAAGACAAUGGAAGAUUUCGAUCACUGACUCGUGAUAGUAUACUAUAUUGCUAUGUUAGUGUUAUUCAAAGGGUCAUUCCACUAAAUAGAAUUUGUCUAUGUUUUUGGAAACCUUAUUUCAAGUAGACAAUCUAUUGCACACCAUUUUUCUCUAAUUCAGCUACAUAACCCAUACCCUCCUAUACAUAUCACUAUCAUUUUAGCUAUUUAUUUCCUCAAGGUGCUGUGACAUUACAUGAUACAUUUACCCAUAGAUAAUCAAGAUAUGAUCUGCAAACUCGUUCCGUUAAAAGAUUUGUUCUAUAUCUUUUUGUUCGUGUUUAAACUUGUUUAUAUGUAAACUUGUGCACGUUAAAGACAAUGUAUUUUUGUCAUAAUGAAGCAAUCGUAAUGUUGAAAUAUUGAUAAGCAAAAUUUCACGAGAUUUGUGCCCGGUGAAUAGACCCAUUGCACAUGACGUCACAGCGCCGGUGACGAUGCAUCUGGAGGACAAAUUAGCAAUCUAUGCAUAAUAUAUACUUUUGUAAACAAAGCAAAUUUUGUAAAACUUUAUAAUAAUUUUGUAUUAAAAAUUGCGCUGUAUGCGGUUGUUGUACCCGAACAGAUAUUGUUAGGGAGCAUCUGGAGGACACUCUAUGGAAUUGUGACGUCAGUGCAAUGGGUCUAUUCGUCUCAACACAUAAAAUCGUAGUUCAUUUCAGACGCUUUGAAUUUUUCCGAGUUAUCGGACCAUAUCUCGAUCCACUAUGGCUACAUUUACACUUGCACCGAAUAGUUUCCGUAGCGACGUGAAAAAACACCUCGGCCGUACCUUUUAGGAACGCUAUUUUCAGAAUUAUUGCAACGGAGAGAUGUUGUUUCGUUCAGCUUCUGAAAGUUGUACAUUCCGUAUCGGAUAGGUGCUCAGUUUCGCGUCGCUACGAGAAACUAUUCGGUAUAGUGUACACGUGGCCUAUAUUUAACAAGUCAGUUGUUGUACACUGUGGUACCGAUACAAAAACACAUAAAUUUAAUCCCAGCUGAAAAAUUCAGAAAGGCUUAUUAACAAUUAUUUUAGCUAUAUAGCAUUGAAAUGCCUUGUCAAAAUGCAUAAUGUUUUAACGAAUAUAAGUCAAUGAAGAAAUAAUGGAACAUGUUGAUCACUGGAUCCUGAUUGUAUGGCAGUAAGGUUUAAGCCCUAAAAAUCUCCUUUCUGAAUUUCACAGCCAAAAAUCUACUUCUAAAACCUAAUUCCCUACAAGAGAGUUUUUUAAAACUGCAUGUACAUAUAUAGACAAGACUAACACAUAAUAGCAAUAAAAUAUUACAAUAAAAUCCUACAAUGACAUUUCAUGUCAAAAUAUUGUGCAUCGAAUUCUGUGAGCUUCAUAUUCUGAUGUUCUAACCCAGGCUGCUAAUUUAUAAACACCCUGUUCCUAAUUUUUUGGAAAGCGCAAUAUUUUUUUUUCAAAAUUUACAAUCUUUUGACCAAACAAACAUAAUAUACAGAAUACUUUAUGUUUCACGAUAAUAUACUUUGUGAAGUCCUGUACAACCGUGUAUCCAAAAACGCCAUCAAUGAAUUUUGUAUUAAAAUAUUUCACGAUUUAUUUUCGAUUCCAGGUCUCUUUUCAACGCGCGAUUCCCAAGUUUAUUGUGAAGAUUCCCAAUUACGUUUCUAAAUUUGGAAUAUUGGGCCAGGAAUUGCAAAGCCAACUUCGCAAGUUUCCACUUUGCAAAUUCCACACCUAAUAUUCCAAAUAUAGAAACGUAAUUUGGAAUAUUCACAAAAAACAUAGGAACCACGCUUUGAAUUACAAAUCGUUCUAUUGGAUACGCAAUCGAGUUCGAACCAAUUAUUCGAGAGCUUUUGCCAAUUUUACACGGGUCACGUGGCUACUAAUUUCGUGUUACUAAGAUAAUCAACCACGUGACCACUCUCACGUGUUUUUCCGCGAGUGUGUUGGUCAUGAAAAAUUAAAUAAUAUUAAAGAGACAACUCUCGUAAAAUACAAACAAAAAAUAUCAAACAAUAUCUUGACACUUAAGUGCCUUAAAUUCUUUCAAAUAUACUGUCCUUGUUUCAAUUUUGGUGUACAUAUAGGAAUUAGGGACACCCGCAAAAUCAGAAUCCGCAUAUCCUGUAUCCGCAGUAGCAGUGUCCGCGUUUCCGACAUUCGCAUUUGCAAAAUUCGCUCGCAUAUUACGGUAAAUACCCAGAGAGCUCUAUUAAAGCAAAAUUAGAUUUGCUAAAUUUUGCCAAACUUAAAUUAAAUUGGCAAAAAAGCGCGUUGAAACUGGUAAAAAGAAAACAGCCUAUAUGUACACCAAACAGUAAAUUUGUAUCACAUAUUUAUCAAACCUUCCCAUAGUAUUUUCCAAAUAUUACUUUCUCAAGGAAUAUCUCAUCAUUUUAUCCAUUC
rnacentral:lncRNA from 1 species